AAAAGGAACCAUUGUGAUGGUGUGACAGAUUCCUCCCAGGGUGCCACCUGGAACUAGGGUAUCACUGAGCCCUCUAACUCACCAGCCCGGGCUCCCUCUCAGCACUGUGCUGCUGUGACAAACUG